UACGGAGGGUGCAAACGUUGCUCGGAAUCAUUGGGCGUAAAGCGCACGUAGGCGGCCUGAUAAGUCGGGUGUGAAAGCCCUGGGCUCAACCCAGGAAGUGCACUCGAAACUGUCAGGCUUGAAUAUGGAAGAGGGUCGCGGAAUUCCCGGUGUAGAGGUGAAAUGCGUAGAGAUCCGGAAGAACACCGGUGGCGAAGGCGGCCUGCUGGGCAGUAGCUGACACUGAGGCGCGACAGCGUGGGGAGCAAACAGG
rnacentral:rRNA from 1 species